rnacentral:rRNA from 1 species
AAGGAUGAUGUGAAAGGCCUCGGCCCAAACUGAGCAUUGCAUCAGAAACUGUUGAACUUGAGUGCAGAAGAGGAGAGUGGAACUCCAUGUGUAGCGGUGGAAUGCGUAGAUAUAUGGAAGAACACCAGUGGCGAAGGCGGCUCUCUGGUCUGCAACUGACGCUGAGGCUCGAAAGCAUGGGUAGCGAAC